ACAGACCUGGUCCGCAUCCUGGCUCUGGUACUUGCUGAGCAGCCUGGCGCAGUUACUUAAGCUCUCUGAGCCUCCAUGCCAGCUGUAAAAUAGGGGUAAUUCUGUCUACCCCGCCAGGUUGCUGUGAGGAUGAAAUAACCGCUGUGAAGAGCUUUAUACAAUGUGGGACACGGAGAAGGCUCGCAUUAAACGGAGCUGUUAUUAUUACAGAGAGGGAAACUGAGAGUUCAAGCUGUGAGCGGCUGGAGGUCCCUCUGCAUUGUGACCUCCUGUGCCAGUUGCUAAAGGAGGGGACAGAUGUAUUGAGGGACGACCAAGCAAAUCCCCAGCUGGUCCAGGGAAGCCGGAGGGACCUCACAGCAGAUCAGGGUACAGACAGCAUCUUCCUGGGAUCCAGCUUCUCCAUCACCCUCAGGGCUGAGCAGGCCAGGACCCGGAGAACCUCAGGGCCCCUUCAGGAAUUAUGGGUAUACUUCUUGAGCACACAGAGAAAAUGGACAACAGGCCAAUAAAAUAAUUGCAAUCUGAGAUAAGAGCUAUGAAGAAAUCAAAGGACUGGAACAGAAAAUAACAGAGAGUCCCACUUGAGGUGGUUGGGGGAACCUUUUCUAAAGAGGUGACAUUUGAAGUGAAGAAGAUGAGACAGAGAGAACUGAAGGGGAAGCAUUCUAGAUGUCAGGAACAGCACGUGCAAAGGCCCUGAGGUAGGGCCAGGAAAAUACUUAAUUUUAAGUUGGAUCCAGGAGUCCUGAACAAGAAGAAAAUGGGGAAGAGGGAAGCCCUAGAGCCAAUGCUCAAAGCUGAGGCCUAAACUACAAAUUAAAAUUUGCUGUGGCUCAGUCAGCUCUAGACUAUCCUGUCUCAGGAGCUACGAGUGUCUGUACCAAACAUAGGAUGGGGAUGGCUCAAGGCAAUGACAACUCAUUGGAAAGCAUGGAGAA